AGGAAGCAGACGUUCUUGUCGAAGGAGCUAAGCCUCGCAACGUAACAUGCGCUAUUGUUGUGGACGCGCACACUUGCCAACUCUCCAAUUUGCACGGGAGACUCCCAAAUUUUGAUCAAACCUCCCGAUAGUGCGGGCACGGCCGCAAGUCUCUUAGAAAACAUCCCCAACACCAUCGCGAUAAGAAAAUGACCACUAAGGACAGUGGUUCUAAAAUUUUCUGACCUUCAUCUAUCACCUACAAAACUCUCCUUAGAUCACUUUCGCCACAGUACUCUGGUGUCAUGUGGAAAAGCGUACUAAGAUAUGGAAGGGGUUACUAGCUGUCAUGGGUCACAAUACAUCUGCUUCACUAAUUACAUAUGCGCGCUUAUGCCGUAUAUUUACGAGUAUAAGCAUGAUCGUUGACGUCUAAAAACCUUUACUGGCAAUCAUUCAGAAGUGUUCAUGGUGUUGCUGCGGCCCUGAGAAACAAUGACUGAAAACAGAUGCCAGCUUUCUUUUGUCACGCACUAAUUUUCCAUCUCGUCAUGAGUAUUUCGGAUUAUACGAAUAUUUUUGGUGACCCUGAAAGAUUUGUAUUACCGAGGUUUUACUGUAGUUAAAAUCGUCUAAGUGAAUUUGAGUCUCUACUAAAUAUGUUAUAACUUGUUACAAGGUCCACCUUUUAAUAUUCAACCCUGGCUACAAGGGUGAUCACUAGAGGCCAGAAUUUUAGGCAUUAAAAAAAGCUCACUUUAGGCGCCAAGAAUAGUUAGGCAAUACAUUUUAGGCCUCCAAAAUCGUAAAUAUAGGCACAAUAAAUUUUUACAUAAAUGCCAAUGAUUUCGAAAGAAAGACAUGCGCGACCUGUAUCCAUGACAGGAAAGCGAAAAUUGUGUUUGUGAUGGCACAAAGGCACCAGUGGUUUAACAGAGCCGUGCAGUGGUCCUUUUUCCCACACAGUUUACAGAACACGGUCUCUCCUUUUAUGCUCCAGCAUGGUGAGUCAAGUGUCCACUGUUGAAUCAACCGCUAAAAGAGCAGAAGGGAGGGAUGCCUCGUAUUGACCAGGUCUAAUUGCGUAGGGUCAGUUUUGUGCCUUGUCGGUGAACACCUCAAGAAGUAAAUUACAAAAGAAAAAAAAAAAACCACGUGCACAUUAAACUUUUCUUUCUUUUGAUCUACACUCUCAUUUCCCCUGACUGCACCCCACGGUUUCGCAUUUGCCAACUGCUUGCGCCUUGUCAGCGUGGCGGCUUAUGUAGGCCGGUGCUUCCCAUAUUGAUUGCUGAUAGUGGUUGUUUUCCGGAAGUUGAUUGAACUAAAGGACUAGGUUGAACCCCAUGGAGUUCCAAACAGUAAUGUUGCCCGGUAACAUGAAUAAUGGUCUCGAACUGCACUCUUAAGCGAAAUUUGAGGUUAAAUAGUGUUCAUGUAGGUGCCAAUCUUGACAAUGGGCACUGUAAGGCAUUUAGGCACAAAUGACAAAAAUAGGCAUUUAUAGGCACCAUAAAAGCGCUAUAAAAACGCCCUUCUUAACCUCUCCUUCAUGCUCAUAUAUCAAAAGUGGCAUGAUAAGAACCCAAGGGAAAAAAUGGGCAUUUGCCUAAAAUCCAGUCUCUAGUGUACUAGUUAUGUGUUUAAAGUGUGGCUGCCAGCGUUGUAACCAAUAAAUUUUGUACUUUGCAGUGACACAAGACAUGCAGAGUAAGACAACAGAUGACCGCAGUGACUACAGGAGAGCACCCGGUCUGGACAAGAAGGGUGACGUAGGACCGGGAACAGACACUAACUUUGACUUCCGAGGAGGCUUUGGACGUGGUCGUGGAGCUCCACAGUAAAGCGCUUCAAUGCCCGUCUAGGAGCUUGUGAAUAAAACAAAACUUGCUUCAGACAAA